CAUUGAAGUUUAAAGGAGGAGCUGAGGCAAAAAUCAAGCUUUCAGCAAGAUGAUCAGAGGCAGGGUGGAAAAUUAUCGUCAUAUAUUACAAAAUGAUGACUGUUUUGGUGAAAAAUACUUUACUAACAUUAUCAGUGGACCUCAAGGAAGAUAACAAAACUAUAAAAAAAGAACAUUUCAUGACCCCUUUAAAUUUCAUAUCGCUACUGAAGAUAUGGAUUUAACCGUAUAAAUAGUUGUCUGGAGUGCUUUUAUGUUGCCCUUAUGUGGAUUUUAAAGCUUCAAAAUGUCGGCACUCAUGCACAUACAUUGUAUGGAGCUACAGAACUGAAAUAUUCAUCUAAAAAUCUUCAUUUGUGUUCAGCAGAUGAAAGAAAGAAAGAAAGAAUACACAUCUUGGAUUGCAUGAGGCUUUUGCAGGUGGCUGAAUAGUAUGGCAGAUAAAAUGGAGGCCAAACGAGAUAUGAUAGAUGACAGUGGCAGAGGUCACAGAAGUUCAAAGAUGCCCUACAGCAGGAGGAGCUGCCCUACGAAGGUCAAUUUCACUUAUUCCCCUCUCAUUGUUGCAGCAGUGAUGUGAUUUGACAGCUGGAUGGCUGAUUCACUCCUUUCUGUCUCUUUGAGAUAAACUGACUGAACAAAGACUUUCCCGUUAAGCAAU